AACGCGAAGAACCUUACCUGGGCUUGACAUGUUGGUGACCGCCGUGGAAACACGGUUUUCCUUCGGGACACCAUCACAGGUGGUGCAUGGCUGUCGUCAGCUCGUGUCGUGAGAUGUUGGGUUAAGUCCCGCAACGAGCGCAACCCCCGUUCCAUGUUGCCAGCAUUCAGUUGGGGACUCAUGGGAGACUGCCGGUGACAAACCGGAGGAAGGUGGGGAUGACGUCAAGUCAUCAUGCCCCUUAUGUCCAGGGCUACACACGUGCUACAUUGGCGCAUACAAAGGGCUGCAAUACCGUGAGGUGGAGCGAAUCCCAUAAAGUGCGUCUCGGUUCGGAUUGGAGGCUGAAACUCGCCUCCAUGAAGCUGGAGUUGCUAGUAAUCGCGGAUCAGCAAUGCCGCGGUGAAUACGUUCCCGGGCCUUGUACACACCG
rnacentral:rRNA from 1 species